rnacentral:lncRNA from 12 species
UCCAUCUGGAGCCUUAGAGACCAUAUCUAGAAAAAGGAGACUUUCACGAGGGCAACUUCUCUUAUCUCGUCUGUGAGCUGAGUAUUUUUCAACCUAAGAGAAGGUCCCCAACUCUCUUUGGAGAAAUGUAUGGAGGCUUACUAAAUCUGGGAACACCAGAAAGAGCUACAAGAAUCUUUGUGGAUUGCAAAGUGACCUGCUGGCCAAUGUCCAUAGCAUCCCUGGCUUCUAAAUCCUGCUAAGGUAAAGUCACUGCUGGGAUAUU